rnacentral:lncRNA from 1 species
CACAAAAGCAAGCUAGCUACCUAACAUUACCUCAGUAAAUUCCUUAAAUCCUGAUUCAAAUAUGGUGCAGGAGUGGAAACAGAGUUCACCACAUGAAGGACAGUCCAGUACUUCCAGGUAUUUUAGAAGAAGAUUCCCCAUAUUAUCCUUAUUAAUGAGGCGAGAGCUUUAAGAGAGGAAGUUGAUUGGGCCGCCAGUCCCCCCAGAAGUCCCCAAGGUUCAGAGUUCAGAGUUCAGGUAAGAACAGACACCUUUUUAAAUUUAUCUGCACCCAAAGUCCAUUAAAAAUCCCCAAGCACACAUUGUUAUUGCUUUUUUUCUUACUGAACAAGAUUUGUUAUCUGAUUAAACAACAACGAGAAGAUGGGUACAUUUUUGGUUGGUUGCUAAGGUGUGUCUAGGUGGUUGCUAUAAUGUUGC